rnacentral:lncRNA from 1 species
AUCCAGCAUACCACAUCUCUCAAAGGCUAAAAAGAAACUGUGCAGGUGUAGGCUUGCCUGAGAGCUGAGAAGAAAAUCUGGUCAUCAUAAGGCUCAACUGGUCUAGAAUAUCCACGAUGGCUCACUGGAGGUUCAACGGAUUUGGAAUGUCCCCGAUGGUGGCAGUUGGUCUAUGCUGUUGGCUGGAAUCUCAGACGAGCAAUAUCCCAGAUAACCCAUCAACCUGCAUCCUGGAGCUGAGGCACUCUAGGUAUGUAAAUGGAAUAAGAAACUCUUUGUUGCAAAUCACUAAGAUUUUGGGGGGAGGUGUUUAUCUGCAACAUAACUUAGUUGAAACUGACUGACACAGCUGAUCCAAGAGAGACAUCCCUGGGGGUGAAGCAUCCUCUG